GCUGCUGGUCUGCGUGAGAAAAAACACACACACUACACUAUCACUAGUUACCGUGGUACAAGGAGCAUAACCUGCUAAUUUACCCUUGGGCCCUGUACUUACCCGCAGUGCUUUUGGUAAGUUAUAAAUUAUUUAUACAGAAUCAGAAUAUAUAUGACAGGUUACUUUCUGUUCAGGCUAGUAUGUAUGUAAAUUAAACGAAAAUAAAGCAUGAAAUAAGAAUUUACUGACCUCUUGUGGCCGGUUUUAUAUGAAGAUUUGGUGUAAGUACGACGAAUUCGCUUAAUUUCAAUACAAAAUUAUUUUUGAAUUAGUCACUGUGUAUUUUUAAAGUAAUUUCUAACUCUUAUUGUGUGCAGUAGUGGCUCAGCAAGUAGUGCUUUGGGCCUUGCCAGUUCGACUUUUUUUUUUUUUUCCCCUUCUCAAUUUAUAUAUUCUCCCUGUUUUAAUGUGUUUCUUCAGGUACAAUGCUCCGGUUUCCUGCCAUAUUAGGGGAAAAACGGGAUUUGCAGGUCACUCGAGUUCUAAUUGAAUAAGUAUUAGUGGCUGAAGAUGGAAGGAAACCUGCGCCACUGCUUUACGAUUCAUCCCCGGUGAAGGACGGGCUUGCAGAAAAUGGAGCAACUGCAAAUCUAAACAAUUGGAACCUGUCCGGCCUCCUUGUCUCAUGUCCCCAGAAAAUGGCUUAAUCAUUACUUGUCACUGUAUUACAGUAUUUUUACUGUAUGAAUGUUAUAUACAUGUGUGUGUUAAAUUUUAAAAAACUGAACAUACUGUUCUGCAUUAUCUAUAAACUAUCAUGUAGAUUAACUUUUUGGAACACGCUAUGAACUGAAGUGAUAUCAUUUACCAUGUGAGAAAUGUAUGAUUUUUGCUGAUAAACUUCUGUAUGUUUGUGUCUAAGGCAUAAUAUAGUAUGUGUCCUACAUUAUCCCCAUUAAUAAACUCUGGAAAGAAUAGAUGAUUCAUUCUUAACUGCAUUGCAGUAUAUGAAAUCCAUAUGUUGAUAUAUCUGAUUGUAUUUUAUGUGGGGAAAAAUCUGGUUUCAUAAAUACUUUUGUACCCUUCAACAAUGUUGCUUUUUAUGUGGUACAGUAAAACAAUACAUUUUUAGGGUUAAUGUGGGGGGGGGGACCAUGAGGAUUUCGCCAUCUUUAGACUACAGCAUAUAUUGGUUGAAACAAUACAAUGGUCCUAUUAGGAACUUAACUGUCUUCCCUUGUUAAUGAAUAUGAUUUGAGAAUACUGAUGUUUUAAAAGUUGUCACUGAAUAUGGGAAGUAAAAACCAGUUGAAACCUGCUGGGCACAGUUGACCCCUGUUCCUAAAGCCUGAUGUAUUUAGUGUGUGUGGCUGUAUA